CUGCUGCCUUCCGUAGGAGUUUGGGCCGUGUCUCAGUCCCAAUGUGGCCGAUCAACCUCUCAAUUCGGCUACGCAUCAUUGCCUUGGUAAGCCUUUACCCUACCAACUAGCUAAUGCGCCGCGGGCCCAUCCAAAAGCGGUAGUAUAGCCACCUUUUACAUGGUUACCAUGCGGUAACUAUGGUUAUGCGGUAUUAGCACCUGUUUCCAAGUGUUAUCCCCCUCUUUUGGGCAGGUUGCCCACGUGUUACUCACCCGUUCGCCACU
rnacentral:rRNA from 1 species